GGGGUGUAGAUCACAUAGGACCUCAUAAGUCAACUGUAACAACUUUGGAUUUUACUAAAGUAAGAAUAGCAGCCAUUCAAGGGAUCCAAGCAGAGAAGUAUCAUGAUCUUCUUUGGAUUUUUAGAGGAUCACUAGAUUUACAGUAGAUUAGACUGCAGGGAGGAAGGCCUGAGCAGGAGAACAGGAAGAAGGUUAAUUCAAUAAUAAACGCAUCUGACAGUAGAAUCAGCAGACUCUGCACAACAAUGAUUUAAGAUCUGAAUUAUAAGGAUGUAUAAAACUGGUGGGAUGUUAUAUAUUAAGUAUGGUGGCAAACUAAGCUAUAAGGUAGUGAACUAGAGCUAGCUGUGUAUUCCAGCUAGAUUUUCAUGGGAGUCAGGGUACAACUGAUGAUCUGAGCUUCAGUGUUGUAAAUUUAGAUUCUUUUGAUCAGUUCACACAUGGUAAUCUGGCUCUUGAACUCGUAUCAACUAAAUUCCCACAAAGAAGACUGUAGACAUAUGCUGCAGAACAAUACAGGUUAUUGGCAUCAACAGAACCUGAUGAAGGGGUAGGCCAACCAGAUGGUUUCUAGGUGCAAAUUUAUAAAGGCUACAAAAGCAUUACUAUAAUUAUAUCGCAACUGAAAGAACUGUUUUUAUCUAGACUCCUCUCGGAGAGACUACUCUCAAAAGAUAGCCACCCAGUGAACCAUGUCCCCAGGAUUCAUAGUCUUGUGUAAUCAUCUACUCUCUCCUUGUAUCUGGGCUGGGCCUGUGACUUUCUUCUUACCAAUGGAAUGAGGUGGAAUUGACCCUGAAUGACUUCAGGGGCCAGGAAAAAUAACACCAUACAAUGUGAUUUGACCACUAUCCUCUAAGAUUUCAAGGAACAGGCAUAUUCUAUGAAUUUUCUAAGUGUCUGUCAAGACACAUCUCAGCAAAACUAGCCCUACAGAGAACCAGGCAAUGAUGGCAGGAAGUGAUUCCAACUUAGUGCUGUAAGUGAUUCUCCUU